rnacentral:rRNA from 1 species
AAUUUCCUGGAAACAGGAGAGUGCUUUCAUUAGAGAGAACCUGGAGACAGGUGCUGCAUGGCUGUCGUCAGCUCGUGUCGUGAGAUGUUGGGUUAAGUCCCGCAACGAGCGCAACCCUUUGCCUUUUAGUUGCCAGCAGUUCGGCUGGGCACUCUAAAGGGACUGCCGGUGUCAAACCGGAGGAAGGUGGGGAUGACGUCAAGUCCUCAUGGCCUUUAUGACCAGGGCUACACACGUACUACAAUGGCCGGUACAAAGGGCAGCGACACAGCGAUGUGAAGCCAAUCCCGAAAAGCCGGUCUCAGUCCGGAUUGGAGUCUGCAACUCGACUCCAUGAAGUUGGAAUCGCUAGUAAUCGCGGAUCAGCACGCCGCGGUGAAUACGUUCCCGGGCCUU